GUAUAUAUAGCUUAGCAGUAGAGCGUGUGCUUAGUGUGCAUAAGGUCCUGGGUUCAAUCCCCAGUACCUCUG
rnacentral:tRNA from 1 species